AAAUGAAUUGACGGGGGCCCGCACAAGCAGCGGAGCAUGUGGUUUAAUUCGAAGCAACGCGAAGAACCUUACCAAGGCUUGACAUCUGCCUAAAGCAGUGGAAACAUUGUGUCCCUUCGGGGGAGGCAAGACAGGUGGUGCAUGGUUGUCGUCAGCUCGUGUCGUGAGAUGUUGGGUUAAGUCCCGCAACGAGCGCAACCCCUAUUGCCAGUUACCAGCGCGUAAAGGCGGGGACUCUGGUGAGACUGCCGGGGACAACUCGGAGGAAGGUGGGGACGACGUCAAAUCAUCAUGCCCCUUAUGUCUUGGGCUACACACGUGCUACAAUGGCCGCAACAGAGGGAAGCGAGGCCGCAAGGCGGAGCGAAUCUCAGAAAAGCGGUCCCAGUUCGGAUUGUGGGCUGCAACCCGCCCACAUGAAGUCGGAGUUGCUAGUAAUCGCGAAUCAGCAUGUCGCGGUGAAUACGUUCCCGGGCCUUGUACACACCGCCCGU
rnacentral:rRNA from 1 species